GCUGGCGGCAGGCCUAAUACAUGCAAGUCGAGCGCGCCCUUCGGGGUGAGCGGCGGACGGGUGAGUAACGCGUGGGAAUAUGCCCUUCUCUAAGGAAUAGCCUCUGGAAACGGAGAGUAAUACCUUAUACGCCCUUUGGGGGAAAGAUUUAUCGGAGAAGGAUUAGCCCGCGUUAGAUUAGGUAGUUGGUGGGGUAAUGGCCUACCAAGCCUACGAUCUAUAGCUGGUUUGAGAGGAUGAUCAGCCACACUGGGACUGAGACACGGCCCAGACUCCUACGGGAGGCAGCAGUAGGGAAUCUUAGACAAUGGGGGCAACCCUGAUCUAGCCAUGCCGCGUGUGUGAUGAAGGCCCUAGGGUCGUAAAGCACUUUCGCCAGAGAUGAUAAUGACAGUAUCUGGUAAAGAAACCCCGGCUAACUCCGUGCCAGCAGCCGCGGUAAUACGGAGGGGGUUAGCGUUGUUCGGAAUUACUGGGCGUAAAGCGCACGUAGGCGGAUUAGUAAGUUAGAGGUGAAAUCCCAGGGCUCAACCCUGGAACUGCCUUUAAUACUGCUAGUCUUGAGUUCGAGAGAGGUAAGUGGAAUUCCGAGUGUAGAGGUGAAAUUCGUAGAUAUUCGGAGGAACACCAGUGGCGAAGGCGGCUUACUGGCUCGAUACUGACGCUGAGGUGCGAAAGUGUGGGGAGCAAACAGGAUUAGAUACCCUGGUAGUCCACACCGUAAACGAUGAAUGCCAGACGUCAGCAAGUAUACUUGUUGGUGUCACACCUAACGGAUUAAGCAUCCG
rnacentral:rRNA from 1 species